rnacentral:tRNA from 1 species
GGGCAGGUACCCAAGUGGCCAAAGGGGACAGACUGUAAAUCUGUUGACAUUUGUCUUCGGAGGUUCGAAUCCUUCCCUGCCCA